rnacentral:rRNA from 1 species
UACGUAGGGGGCAAGCGUUGUCCGGAUUUAUUGGGCGUAAAGAGCGUGUAGGCGGCCAUACAGGUCAGCUGUGAAAACUCGAGGCUCAACCUCGAGCUGUCGGUGGAAACUGUCUGGCUAGAGUCCGGAAGAGGAGAGUGGAAUUCCUGGUGUAGCGGUGAAAUGCGCAGAUAUCAGGAAGAACACCUAUGGCGAAGGCAGCUCUCUGGGACGGUACUGACGCUGAGACGCGAAAGCGUGGGGAGCGAACAGG